AGUAAAGAUUAAUCAUUGUUAGAUAAUAUAAUUUUUGUUUAAAAAAAAUCUUUAUAAUUUUGAAAGUUAACAUCGACAAAUACUUAAAUAUUUAACAUAUGGAAGUAUAAAAUUACAACAUUAAAUUAUAUCUAUUUAAUUUAUACUAUCUAAGUAUCUAUAAAUCCAAUGGAUCAUCUAUUGUUUAAAUUCAAUUAUUGAUAGCCCAAUAAAAAUUUAUGGUAUGUCCAAAACUUAAAUGAUAAUAUUAGAAAUUAAAUGUAAAACAUAAAUUUCUAGAAAUAGGUCCACUAGGUACAUUUAAAAAAAAACAAUCACACAUGAAUCAGUGUUGUGACUUCUGUAUUUAUAUAAAAGAUAAAUUAUUAUUAAAAAUCAUAUAAUCUAGAUACAAAAGGUUUAAAAUUUCAUUUUUCUGUUAUCAGUCUUUAAUCAUUAUAGAACUGAGGACACUAAUAUAAGUUAUAUAAGAUUUUGAUCCGUGCUUUAAAAGUGCUAGAUAUUGUAUGAUGAAAAUUUCCGUUAAAAAUAUUUGGUUAAUUUAUAAGAAUUUUGUAUAUUUGAAAUAUUUCUGCAUUUAAAUCACUAUUUUAAACCCGAUCUGGAUCUAUGAUUGAACCAGUAAACCAAAAAUCCCAUAUGUAAUCCGGUUUAGGUUUUAAGAAAUAUUUAUUAUUUAAACCCGAUAAAUCCUGCAACAAAUUAACUUCUAAAUCUCGAGGCUAGCCAGUUUAAUUGAUGGGUGUCUGGUAUGUAAUUCAAUUUGAUUUAAAUUAAAAAAAAUUUAAAACGUAAAGUCAAUUUAAAUGGGUGCAUUAGAUAUUUACAAUAUUUAAAAAUUUAAAGUCAGUUUGAUUUUUAUUAUAUGUCGUACUAAGUUAUUAUAAAAUAUUGUUUAAAUAUGUUUUCAAUAUUUUUUAUGUGAAAUGAUAAAAAAUAAAGAACAAAAUGAUAAAAUAAAGAAAACUUUACUAUAUUAUAAAUAUGAUAUUUUCUUGUAUUUUUUAAAACCCUAUCAGAUUACAUGGGAUUACUGAUUUAAAAUAGCUUCGACCGUGGAUCCGGAUCGGGUUUAGAAGCACUAAUGUAAAUAAAAAAUAUUAUAGAUAGACAAAAUUAUUAUAAAUUAACAAAACAUAUAAUGUUGUUAAUGGAGUUUUUCAUCGUAAAAUAUUCAGUGGUUUGAAACGCGAAUAAAAAUUUAAUCAUAUAUUAAAAUUAUCUAAACUAUUAACCUGUGGUUAUCUCUACAGCCACUGAAAACAUGAUAUAAAAUUGAAAUUUGUUAUGAACAAAACCUCAAAAAAAAAUUACACAAUAACAAAAUCACAUAAAAUAUCACAAGGAAUACGACUAAUAUAUAAAGGUAUAAACUAAACUACGGUGCAUAAAACUAAUAGUCAUCAACGAAUGUUUCUUAUUGUGUGUAUUUUUUUGUGUAAUUUGUUGAAAGAGAAUUGCUUAAUUUAUAUUGAAUACUCCUUUUUGAUUUUUGAGAAGCAGAGGUGGCGUUUGUUAUUAUGUAAGACUUCCAUACCUAUUGAAUAUUUCUUUUGAGUAUUUAGAAUCUUACCAUAAAAACUGUUUACAAAUUUAAACAUUAACAAUCGCAAAUAUAAAAUCUUACCAUAUAUAUUAGGCUAGGUGUUAGGAUUUUUUGCUAUUAAAAUUAACUACGUUAGGCCUAUUGGUAUGAGUUGUGAUUUUAUUUUUUGGCUGUAGAAAUAUUGAUGUGAUUUUUUUUUUUUGCUUUGGCUCUAGAUUUUAAAAUUUUAAAAGUCUUUAAAAUAAUAAUAAAGAGCCGAAUUGAAUUUAAAUAAAAGAGCUAUGAGCUUUAGAAAAGUACAAAUCUAAAUUGGUGUAGAUUUAGGGAUGUAAGUAUAAUUGUGGCUAUGGAAAACAUUUACAUCAAUAGCUAAUUACACAUUAAGUAUAAGAUAUAGUCUGAUUUAGUCAAAUUUUUUUUUUUGAUAACCGUAGUGUGAUCUUAAAGGCUUUCUAGGUCCAAUGACUAAUCACUACGAAGCCCAUAGAAAUUCGGGUUUUCUUGCCACUUAAGACGUCCAUGGGUGGCCAAGAGGAAUCGAACCCAUAGCGGAGCUCCAGCUGGAGCCCCUUUACCACUAUGCCAAAACCACUUGGUUAACACAUUAUUAUAGAGAAAGUUGAGUCCAAUUUUGUGUGUUUUACUAGUAUUUGAUUUAAACUCGAAUGAAAAAUCCAUGACCAAUUUGAUUUCCAUGAAAAUUUAGCCAUAUAACUAGAACAUUGUCUAUAACUAAAUGGUUGGUUCAUUAUUUGGUUUAUGAUUUAUAACGUACCCAUAGUAGAUAACUAUAUGUUAGACACAUAUUGAUUAGAUUUUAAAAUAUAUUAUGAUUUAAAUGAAUUAAUGUUUGGUAGUCCAAAAUUUAAAUAUAAUUAUAUAACAUAUGACCUCUGAAAAUAAUUCUAAUUUAAUAAAUUAGAUAUAUUAUUUUAUAGUUUUAAAAUAUCUAAAUUUUUAUUAAAAAAUAGUUUUAAGGGUUUAAAGAUAUAUUAUUUUAUAGUUUUAAUUUUUAAUAAAAAAUAAAUGGAUAUCUUUCUCAAAAAAAUAUUAAAUGGAUAUCCUUAUUUUAACCGAAACCAAACUAAAAUUUACAAAUAAUCUGUGUAAUUAUUUUAGUCUCGAAAGAUCCAAAACCCAGCCGUAACCGAAUGAAACCAGAAUUAGAUAAUGGGCCAGUUUUAAUAGUUUGGGUUCAAGUAUUAUAGUUGAGACUAGUGUUUUUAAAACCGGACCGACUCGAUGGUUGGUUCAACCAUGAACCGGAUACAUAGCCGGAUUUGGUCUAAUAAUUGGUUCGACCAUGAACCGUUACGUAACCAGAUUGGAUUUCAGAGUUAUUACUGAUUAAAACCAUUUAAAACUAUCAAAAAUCUUUAAAAAAUUAAUCCAUAUAAACAUAAAACUAGUUUUUAUUUACAAUGUUUAUGUUUUAAAUUCAUUUAUAUUUUAAUUAUGUAUCAUAUUAACUAACAUUAAUUUUAAAUUUAUACAUUAGAAAUAUAUUAAUCCAGAUUAUUGAACCAGAUUUGAUCCGGUCGAACCAUAUUAAAUUGUGAUCUAAAAAUUAUCCGGUUCGGCUUCCGUCCGGUUUUAAAAACACCUGUUGAGACCCUCUCUCUCUCUUUUCGUAAUCUUAACUAAAUUCUACCCUUAUUUCACGGUAGACUUUUCUCUACCCUUAUUAUCAGGUGCUGUUUCGAUUCUAGGGCUAAUAUCAUAUUUGGAUUUGACGAUGACGAAGGAGUACGUGAUGCUCAUACUGCUGAUGAUGAUAGUUUUUUCACCGUUUCUCCCACCAUUACAGUUUUUCGGCAGUUCAGAUGGAAUUAUUUUGACAGGUCCUGAUUUCACCCGCAAAUUCAACACUGUCGAAUCUAAUACGGCUGACUCUGUGGAAAUCAGAGUGUGUGAUGCAAUUGGAGUGGUUUACAUGACUGAGUCGCUCGACGCAUGCGAAAAAUUGAUCUUGGAAAGAGACAUGUUGAUGUUGUCAACAACAACAACUAGAUCCUUCUUUGUAACAAAAGAAACUGCACAAGUAGUAAACAAGUAUAUUUGUCGGCCAAAUGUAGCAGUCAUGCGUGUCCCUAUUCAUACCGACCACCUUUACGGAUUAAUCACCAGGGGUCUUCUCUUCUACACCUUCGUCUUCCUCCUUUUACGUUUCUUCAGUUAGCAAUUCCUAAGUCUGAAUAAAAUAAUGCAUGUUAGCACUGGACUACACAUCAGAAUCAGUUCAUGGUAUUUAUUAUCCUUUUGAUAGUUUGAUUUGCAUUUUUAUUUUUCUUAUGUAACAAAUAUAUAACAUGAGACAUAGAAGACGAAGAAGAAAAUCGGAAUUUAUAGAUA